CCUGUCUUCCCUAACUGACCCGUCCACUCAACCCGGUCUUGCUUUGCUCCUCAACCCCAGUCUUGCUUGGUCCGGUUAUAAUAGUGGCUGAGUGUGUCUCUUCUGGUCUUGUGGGUGAUGGAGUGAUUAGAUUAGUUUGCCCUUAAAUGAGUACUAAUGAAGGUUUUCUUCGUUAUUGUUUUCAUGAUUUUCUUUUUUUUAGUGGGUGACAGAGUUUUGAAUUUAGUUUCCUCUUAAAUAAGCAAUGGUGAAGUUGUUGUUUUUUUGUUAUUUUUUUGUGUUUUUCUUCUUUUUGUGGGUAACAAUGAUUAGUUUGCCCUUAAGUAAGCAAUGAUGAAGGUUUUCUUUUAUAAGUAACAAAUUAACAGGUUUGAUUAACUUUUAAAGAAUGGCGGAGUUUUUGAAUCAUUACUAUUUCAUUUUUAUGCUUUCUAGAGUAAUUUUUAACUGGUCAGAAAUUUCUCUAACAUGAAAGUAUAAAAUAAUCUGUGUUAGUGUGGAUUUACUCGUACACAGAAUAUCCAUAAUCUCACACACACGUAUUUCUUCUCCAGCAGGAGGAAGUACGUAGGUAACAUAUCAUAUUUCCCACAAUUUACGGAACUCCUAACCUGACUAUAUUAAUUUCCAUUUUUCCAGAUUGUAAAAGAAGUAGCUGGAUGUAAUUGAUGCUCUCUUUUCUCUAACUCAAAAUGUGAUUAAUCCACCUCCUUACUAUUGACAGAACUCCUAACUUGAUAUCCAUAACCAAUUUCAUGUAUUUAAGAUUAUAAAAGAAGUAGUUGGAUAUAAUUGACACUCUCUAUUCUCUAUCUCAAAGCACGAUUAGUCCUCUUUCUUACUAUUGAUAAAACUCCUAACUCGAUAUGCAUAACCAAUUUCAUGUAUUCUAGAUUAUAAAAAAUGUAGUUGGGCAUAAUUGACACUAUUCUCUAACUCAAAACACAAUUAGUCCUCUUUCUUACUCUUGACAAAACUCCUAACUCGAUAUGCAUAACCAAUUUCAUGUAUUCUAGAUUAUAAAAAAAAUAGUUGGGCAUAAUUGACACUAUUCUCUAACUCAAAACAUGACUAAUCCUCUUCCUUAUUAUUGACAAAGCUAAUGACCUGAUAUGCAUAACAAUAUACUUUUGAUUUCUUCCAGGGCGUAAGGAAGUGUAUAGUCGGAUAGUGUUUACAUACAGUAUCCUCUAACUCGUAACAGCACCCUUUAUACAUCAAUUUUCUGAACGUUUAUGCAUGUACGAGUCUGUGUAGAUGGUUCUGUGUAUGUGUGUGUUUAUGUGUGUGUGUGUUGUGGACUUAUGGUCUUGAAAACUCGUCCUGUGAUCCAUUCUAACGUUCCAUUCUACUGACUUUGGUUUGUGCAUUUGGUAACUGUUGUCCUUCUCCUCUUGUAGCGAGUCCUUAGUACUCUCACCCUAGCUGUUCUGACAUAGCACGAAGUAGAAAUAGUGUCUAAUUGUUCAGUAUGUAGCGAUUUGUACCCUCUGCAUCUGCAUGUGUUUUCCUUAUACGAUUUUGAGGCGUUCGUAGGAGAAGGGACAUGAGGUUGAACGCAGCCAUUUCUCUCUAGUCUGCACUGGGAAAGGCUGACUUCAUAUCCCAGGAAGAACAAGACACAUGCUGCAAGGGAAAAGCAACCUUGUGUUUGGUGUUCUGAAGGUUGUUUUUCCCUUGCAACUUGUAUCUUGUGUUUCCUGGUGCAAUGGGAAAAGCAGACUUCACAUUGCAGGAAGAACAAGACACUAGUUGCAAUAGAAAAGCGACCUCGUAUCUGAUGUACCAUGGGUCAUUUUUCCCUUGUAACUUGUGUCUUGUUCUUCCUGGGAUGUGUAUGUAGCCUGGCCUGCCUUUCCCAGUGCAAACUAGAAAAAAAUGUCUGUCCCUUGUGCCCCUUCUCUGUCGGAUGCCUCUUUAUGCAGAUUUUCCAGGGUUCAGCGAGAGGUAGGUGGAGUCUCUGGGUCUGUUCUCAUCUGUUAUGCUUGGUAGAAAGACUUGUUUUGCAUCGUUCUCACUGCACUUGUUGGUGGAUGGAUAGUCACUGGUUGUCCUGCACAGUGGAAUGCUUCAGAGUUCACUGGUUGAUGUCUCGAAUAUGUCACAAAGUCCGUAGUGAGAUGGCUAUUUAGACUGUUCAGGAAAGCAUUCAUUACGUCUUAUGCACUUGGUGGAAAGCUGUACGCUAUCCAUGUAUAUACACUGUACACUGUAUGUAUAAUAACCGGUGUAUGUAUAUAUGUAUUAGUGCACUGGUCGUAUGUACGUAUUUAUUCUCACUGCAAUGACGACGGGGUUCCUGCGAAGUUGCAAUUUUUAUCGGCAUUUACGUAUCGGGCAAUUCCGCGGCCUCGGGAUCGCAGAAAAGUCUCGUUCUGCAUUCGUUUCUCCGGCUACGAAAAACGGUGAAUCGCGGCGAAGUAAGACCGUUCAGUAUUUCAACAUUUUCCUCUUUCUCUUCCUCCCGUUCCUCGGUUAAUCGUCCUUAUUUUCCCUUCUGGGGUUGGACGGGCUAUGAGUCUCUUGGUGAAGGGUAGGUCUCUGUGCUCUACCUUGGGCCCCUACACAGACUUAAGGGAUUGUAGUGUAUUGCCAAUGUUACCCUGAAGUUCAUUAUAAUAUUGUACUAAAAAAUAAGGUAAUAUGGUGUACUUUAGAAUUGCAGUAGUAAGGAUGACAGACACUUGAAUUUUUAAGCAUAGAAAACCACAUCAAAUUACUUCUUCCAGUUAUGAGUGUAUCAAAAAGUACUGUCUCUCUCUCUCUCUCUCUCUCUCUCUCUCUCUCUCUCUCUCUCUCUCUCUCUCUCUCUCUCUCUCUCUCUCUCUCUCUCUCUCUCUCUCUCUCUCUCUCUCUCUCUCUCUCUCUCUCUCUCUCUCUCUCUCUCUUUUUCCACUUCUUUCUUAUACUAACAAACCACUUCUUUCCCCCUCUCUCUCUCAUUUCCUCUCUUUCUCUGUCUCUGUCUCUCUGCCUUCCUUUCCUUCUCUUCCCUUCUCCGUCUCCAUACUAAUCAUUUCUCAUUUAUUUCUUUAUAUACUAACUAACCACUUCUUUCC